AUAGCUCUGUCUCGACUGAAUCCUGACGCAAUGCGUCAGAGACUUAUUAGGUCGGACGGGGCUUU
rnacentral:ncRNA from 12 species